rnacentral:lncRNA from 12 species
AUGAAACCAAAAAUGAAUACAGAAGAGAGGAGAAGUUGUAUGUGGUCGUUUUCUAUGAGUAAAUUUUUUUUAUUUGAUCAGUCUGACCAUUUGUCCCGCCUAGAUACUGGACAUAGCGCGCUACACCCCGCCCCGCCUCCGCUCGCCUCUCCGCCAAUCACAGCUGGAGGAACCAGACGGGAGGCGGAGUCAGACAGGAAGCUGCCACUACCACAGCAGGUCACGGGGCGACUCUGCCCUUGUCUGCCGCGAGGUGUCACUGUGCGCGUUCGCUGAGGACGUUUCCAUGGAGAAAACACUAGUGUGCGCGGAAUGACGUAAUGUGAUGGAUGGAAGCCGCUGUAGCGCCGGUCCCGCGUGCACUGCCUGCCGCUGCUGCUCCGCUCCGCAUCCCUCAGCGAACACUCUGCGCUCUUGUUUGAGGUGAGUUGUCUCUUUUAUUCUCUGGUUUGUUGUCAUUAAAUAGCUGCCUCGGAGUUAAAUACGCUUUAUCACACCUUAUCUAUAAGCGUUGCGGUCUGAAUUGUUGUGCAAUGUUACAUUUUUAUAUUGAAUCACUGAAGAACCAAAGGAUCUCGACUACAAUGCGAGUGUUACGACGAAGGAGGGGCUGCGUGGCAGAAAUAUGAUGACUUAAAUAAAGAGUCUUUAUCCAUAUUCAUGCAUAAAAAAUGGCACACGUCAGAAUAGUGUUUUAAAGUAUUUUUUUGUUUAUUAGUUGUUUAUUGGAUGUUUUAUGAUGAAUUUUGAUAUUUUAUCAUAUACAAUAAAUAAAUAUCAAUGUAUGCAAUUACGCUUGUUUAGCACCAUCUCAGUCUUUCUCAUUCAAGUUGUAGUUAGAACGAAAUAUAAUGAAUUUGCAUAUGUGUAUCUGACAAUAUGACAAGUUGCCUGUACUAUAUUUAGUUACUCUUGAAGUGUAUGUUAUUUUGUCCUGAUGACAUGAAAUUUGCUUUGUUUUGUUUCCUUCUGACCCACAUGCACCUGUUUAUGUAAAGAAUACCAUCUUUGGAUUUGUACAAGACCCGAUUGUGAUCAUGUAAAGCUGCAAGAACAUGCCGCUGUGACAUUUGGAAGUUUUCAGAACAUCAGGAAAAUGAAUACAGAAAUGUGUAAUUAUGAAGUUGGGGUAACCUUCCCCCGUUCUCGAUGCCUGUCACAGAGCAGCCGUGCUGGGCUUCAUCUGAAGGGAUGCACCAUGGUGUGAUCACACGUCUGUCCUACCCCAGACUCAAUGAAUCGCACGAAUGAAUGGACAUUACUGUGGCAAAGGGAAUUAGCUUGCUUGCAUAGGGACUUUGGAUUUGGGAAUACUGGAGCCGGUAGAGGAGCGUUGGAUUUUUUUUUGAAGAAGUGCAGCGGAUACUUCAAGGAGUGUUUUUGGAAGAUGUCUGAGAAGGGAGCUGAGGCGUCUACAUCUCAGCCUCCAAAGCGGAAGCAGGUGAUCCAUGCUCUGGAAGAUCAGAAACAGGUUGGUGCUUUGAUUUGAGGUGACAGAUAGCAUCAUAUCUUAUGUAUAACUUCAGUGUUUCCUAAAUUUAAAGGUACUUGAUCUUGAAACGCCCCUAAUUUGCUCUCAAAUAUUUCAGUUUCCAAACAGGAUUGUGUCUGUAUUUGAAUCUUCAAUCGCUGUUUGCAGCUCUUUAAUCUUUUUAGAUUUUUAUUUUCAUGCUAAAGGAGAAACUUGGACCACUUUCACCUUGGCCAUGCUGCACAUUAUCCAGUGAUUUAUGGUCAGCUGAGGCCAUGCACGUCCCUUGGCAUAUGGCCCAAUAGCAUAGCACCAGGUGCAAUGGCUGCUUAAUUGACUUGUGCUGAGAUUUGUGAGUAUACUUUAUGACUGCUUGCAAAUGCAUGUGCUGACCACAAAGCUUGAGGAUAAUUUUAGACUUUAUAGCAAUGAAGAAUGAGAAAAAUGCCAGAGUUUUGUACUGUAAGAAUGUGAUUUGCUUUAUUUAGUUUUGCUUGAAAGAAAAUUCUUGGUUUACUAAGCCUCUCAGUGCAGAUUACCACUCAUGCAAGUUUUAUGCUAGAAUAAACAGCACAAUAAAUAACAAUAAGGCAUCACAAACCUUGCAUCCGAUCCAGUUUCAGGCACAUUCUGCUCUCGAGAGCUGAACUAAUGGGCUUAGAGAUUCCUUAAAGCCCAUGUUUCACUUCCGUCUUUGGGAAUCUGAUUUUACAUGUAAACGGAUACCCGUUUGCUUGCCUGUCCGAGUAUGACAUGUUUUGCUUGGUGUAAAUCCUAGCGUGACGCGAGUAAAUGAGGCUUGGGCUUCCUGGUUGCCCAGCUGGAUCCUUCAGGGGCAUUUUGGUUUCUCGCCCAGACUUAAAGGAGAGUCUUGGAGGACUAUUAAAAUAUACAGACUCAUUUUGCUGAAAUUCAUGGUGGAUGGGCUUCUUUUCCAUCGUCCUCUUUGGUUUGACUCGAUUAGAUAUGCAAAACUGAUCACCUGGGAUUCUAGUAGAACAUGAAUUAAUUAAAGUAGCAAAAAGCACAGCUGCUGUUUUCCAAUUUUCCAGCAUGGUGAACUCUUGUUAGGACACUAUGCCUUCACCGAGACGAACACACCGUGACAUAAAGAAAAUUGUUGGCAUUAAAAAACAAAAUUCAAGUAACUAAUUGCAUAUUCAAGGUAUCAAAAGGGUGAUAUGAAUCAGUAAUUUGUUCAACAUUACCAUGUCACUGUAUUUUGUAUUGCACAAUAGUCUCUGUUAACCGAAACCAGUGGUUUUGAAUAGGUCUCUCCGUCUGCUGCGGUCCAUUGUUUGUGGAAUAACAGGGGUCUCCUUGGAUCUGACGCUAGGUGUUUCCCAAUUACCUCAUGCUAUAUAGUUUUUCCAGAGAGACCUGCUCCUGCUUUGGGUAAUUGGAUUUUCUUCCACUAUUCGGCCUGAUUUUUUGAUUACGUGUGUUCAUCAAAUGACAUUUCCUGGGAGAGGCGCAGGUAAUGCACUUCACUGUGGAAUUAUUCAUUGAUGUACAUCAUUUUUUUCAGUCUGAUGCUAUGAAUUUUAGAUUAAGGCCUAUAGUAGUGACAAAGAGCCAGUGAACUCCAGUAGUCCCUUCAUUGAUAGCUGGAAGGGUGAGUCAAUGAAUUGGCUAAAUAAUACAUUAAUGAAACAAGUAUAAUUUAAAAAAGCAUAGUGGCUUAUAUUGAGUAGCGGAGUGGAGGUUGCCCUAUAUGUUAUUGGUGUCUAAAUUUGGUCUGUAAUUUUAGAGUGCAAUCAUGUUUUUGUGAUAUAUGUGUGAUGUGUAAAUCUAUGAUGAUGAUAAGUAAUGACAUUUUUAUUCUGUUGAGUGUUGAUGUACCAUACAGUUCCUAAGGGUGAAAGCAGUGUUAUUGCUGUAGCAGCAUUAAGUGAACACAGCAUCUAUUCAGCGUUCUUAUAAUCUUACUUUAGUGGUUACUGAAAUGUCAUUUGAAAACUUUGAGGAAAGAAUAUAUAUUUUUAAGACCCCCAAGCCUUUUUGCAUAAACCUAGUUAAAUAACAGAUCAUGCCUUGAUGUAUUCAUGCUUACCUACUUUUUAUUUUUCUUCUUACUUUAAUUUCUUAAUUUAGAAAGCAAAGGAAACAAUAUCAGUAAAAUUAUAGGUUUUUAAAAUCUCAUGUUCGUCUUUUGCUUGUUUUAUCAAUUGCUGAACACUGAAGAACCUGAGCUCUUUUCUUAAGCGAUGGUUAGUUACUAACACAAACAGCCAGUUCUCAGAAGAAUGUUUUUAUUCUUUUCACCAUUUCUGCCCUGUUGAUUCAUAACCUAACCAUUUUAAAAGCCAACAUGAAAAACUGUGGUCUUUUUAAUGUUUGCAUAUAUAUAUAUAUUUUUUAAUAUGUUGAAUAUGUCUACUUUUGAAAUUUGUUUGACAUGGCUACUGUGUCAGUAGUGUACACUAGACCAAAGUGUUUUUUUGAAGCCACACACACUGGAAACAGACAGAACCUACAAGCCCUAUUACUGUAUAUUUCCUUCAGUAUUUUGCCUGAAGACACAGUUUAAUAUCUCACAACUUAUUACAAGGAACAAAAUGCAGCUUAUACAUGUUGUGAGAUGUUAACAGGUGAAAAAAUGAUGAAUAGAUGUGUUUUUAAUUGUAUUUCAGCUGUGUUUCUUUGCUAUGGGAGGUUCUGCUGUACAGAUCAGGGCAAAAACUUUGACACAGAUCAGCAGUUGCAUGUGAUUCCCUGUUUCUUCUGAAAAAUGUCUGGAGA